UUGUGCCAUUGAUAACAAAAAAAAUAUUCAUAAACUAAAAUCCCUCCAAAUUUUAAUUCCCCCUCUGUACUUACCACCAAAACUUAAUUCAAAUUAAUCAAAAUUUGACUUCCGCUAAAUUUUUGUUGCCCUCGAUUUUGAGUAUUACCUUUUUUUUCCAUUACAACUCAGUCUACUAAAAUCAGAACUUCCAUAUCAAAUGAGAUCAUGAAAUUUGCUCUCCAUUACUACAUUGCGAUUGGCUCAUCCAAUACUACACAUCAGUAAUCGAAAACAUCUCCAUCAGAACCAUCCUGAUUUCAAAAUUUCUCUUCUCGUUGUGUGUAAAUGUGUAAUUGUUGUUGGAUUUCAUCAUUCCCCUUGUUAAGGUGAUUUUGUCAUGCUAAAGCUUCUUGAUAUACAAUUUGUUGAUGAAAGUUACACAAAACUUGCAGGUUAAACUAAUGGUUGUUUUUCACUCUUUUGUUGAAUAGUUGAUAUUUGCCUUCAUUAUUUUUUUCAGGUUUGAGAAUAUAAGAAAUGUGCAGCAGAAAUCAAUGUUAUGAAAACAUAAGUUCCAAGAUUGCCUUAUCCAUAUUCAUCCCUGAGAACAUAAAAACAGUUGUGGUUGCCUCCUAUUUGGAGGAUCGAGGAAGACAAUGUGGAAUUUCUAAGUGCAGAAGUAGAGCAUACAUAUAUGGAAAUGGAUAAAAGAUAGCACAUGGCUGAAAAGGUUUAAUGACAUGUAUGUUUGAUUACCUUGUGAAGUUUUUACUUCAUUUGUUUUUAUAGAAUUGGUAUAAUAUGUAUAUAGCUUUGCAAAAAUGAUCUAACUUUUAUUGUUUUAUAUAUCACAUUAAUAACAAUAGCAUUCAUAUAUGCAACGUGUAUUUUA